rnacentral:rRNA from 1 species
GAUGAACGCUGGCGGCGUGCCUAAUACAUGCAAGUCGAGCGAACAGACGAGAAGCUUGCUCCUCUGACGUUAGCGGCGGACGGGUGAGUAACACGUGGAUAACCUACCUAUAAGACUGGGAUAACUUCGGGAAACCGUAGCUAAUACCGGAUAAUAUAUUGAACCGCAUGGUUCAAAAGUGAAAGACGGUCUUGCUGUCACUUAUAGAUGGAUCCGCGCUGCAUUAGCUAGUUGGUAAGGUAACGGCUUACCAAGGCGACGAUGCGUAGCCGACCUGAGAGGGUGAUCGGCCACACUGGAACUGAGACACGGUCCAGACUCCUACGGGAGGCAGCAGUAGGGAAUCUUCCGCAAUGGGCGAAAGCCUGACGGAGCAACGCCGCGUGAGUGAUGAAGGUCUUCGGAUCGUAAAACUCUGUUAUUAGGGAAGAACAAAUGUGUAAGUAACUGUGCACGUCUUGACGGUACCUAAUCAGAAAGCCACGGCUAACUACGUG